CGCAUUCAAUUCUUAUAGGGUGUCAACUAUAGCUUUUGGAUUCAAAAUGAAUAGGCAUCACCAACCUUUUUUGUGUAAAAAAUAAACAUCUGUAUUUUAUUAAUCAGAUAAUUCCUUUCAAGCAUUAUCACUUGGACUAAUAAUUGAAUCUUAUACUUUCAGGUGUCCAGUAGCACUCCUAACACUCCGGCUCUAUCAGAUGACAACAUUGUCACAGAAAUGGAAGUUGAUUCAAAUCCUACAGAUAUGGAUGAUACCAUACAGGCACAGUUAGACACAAUGACAGCCAAGUAUACAGAUCUUCAGACAAAGUUCAGCACCCUCCAGCAAGAAAAUGAGAGCUUGAAAGAAGAGAUAGAGAAGUUGAGAAGAAAUCAAAAUGAAUCCCAGAGAGAAACUAAAAGACAAAGAGUCGUAACAG